AACGAACGCUGGCGGCAUGCCUAACACAUGCAAGUCGAACGAAGGCUUCGGCCUUAGUGGCGCACGGGUGCGUAACGCGUGGGAAUCUGCCCCUCGGUUCGGAAUAACAGUUAGAAAUGACUGCUAAUACCGGAUGAUGACUUCGGUCCAAAGAUUUAUCGCCGAGGGAUGGGCCGGCGUAAGUGUAGGUAGUUGGUGGGGUAAAGGCCUACCAAGCCGACGAUCUUUAGCUGGUCUGAGAGGAUGAUCAGCCACACUGGGACUGAGACACGGCCCAGACUCCGACGGGAGGCAGCAGUGGGGAAUGUUGGACAAUGGGCGAAAGCCUGUUCCAGCAAUGCCGCGUGAGUUAUGAAGGCCUUAGGGUUGUAAAGCUCUUUUACCAGUGAUGAUAAUGACAGUACCUGGAGAAUAAGCUCCGGCUAACUCCGUGCCAGCCGCCGCCGUAA
rnacentral:rRNA from 1 species